AUUUUAAUAGGAUGCUGAAUUUUGUUUGCUAGUAUUUUGUUGAGGAAUUUUGCAUCAAUGUUAAUCAGGGAUAUUUUCCCCUAAAUUUUAGUUUUUUUGUUGCUGUGUCUCUGCCAUGUUUCUGUAUUAGGAUGAUGCUGGCCUCAAAGAAUGAGUUGGGGAGGAAUACCUUCUCCUCACUUUUUUGGAAUAAUUUCAGUAUGAAUGGUUCCAGCUCUUCUUUGUACAUCUGGUAGAACUUGGAUGUGGAUCCAUUUGGUCCUGGGCUUCUUUUGGUUUGUAGGUUAUUUAUUACUGAUGCAAUUUUGGAGUUCAUUUUUGGUCUGUUCAGGAUUCAACUUCUUCCUGCUUCAGUCUUGGAGGGAGUAAAACGAGCCCAUAGAGCGGAAACAUUUCUCUGGGUGGUGGCAGAAGAAGAAAUGCAGAAAAGGCAGUCAGAGAGAUGCAGCAGCAGAAGUCAAAGAGAUCUAAAUAAUGAGAAGGUCGCAGCACAUAUUUCUGGCGUUCAAUACUGAAAGACAACGUGAAAAGGAGUCCAUAAGCCUCUAGGAGCAGAGAGGGCCACCCAGCUGAUAGCCAGCAUUAAAGCAGAGACCUGGGACCUGCAACCACAUGGAAGUGAAUUACGUCAAUAGACAGAAUGAGAUUGGAGGCUGGGUCUUCCUCAGAUCCUUCAGAGAAGAGCUCAGCUGGGGACAACUUUUUGGCCACAUCAGAUCCAAUCCAGCCACGCGGUUUCAAGAUUUCUGAGCCAUAUAAACUGAGAGGUGGUACUCUCACAAACAAUACAUUUGUGUUGUUUUAAGCCAUUAAGUUUGUAUCAAUUUGCUCUCUAACACUAGAAAAUGAAUAAACCUGCCAUAACCCCUUCCUUCUGUAUUUCUCUCCUACAUUUUCUAACUAGAAGAGAUAAUUUUUUAAAAUAAAUAAGAUCAUGGUUAACAGCCUGCACUUUUUAUUAACAGAAACUGGGGCUUGAUGACUUAUUAUAUCUGAGACUUGGCAAACAUUUCUUCAUUUUCUUUAUUAAAAACUUCACAUAUUUUAAAUAGACAUAAUAACAUGCUAUGUUCAACAUCUCUAAUAAGAAAAAAAUAAUCCAUGUGUGUUAAGAGUUAUUCACAGUACUUGUAGCAAAGUAACUACUCAAUAAGUGUAAGAUAUUACAAUUUUACCACUGAAAUCU
rnacentral:lncRNA from 1 species